AAUGUGAAACUGAAUAACAUUUUGUUAGAACAGAGAGUCAGGAUUUGGUUUUACUGAAGAACAGAGAAAACAUACAUUUGGAAAUAGUUGCUAUAAAAAGAAGUACUAGGUCUUGGUAGAAGAAAAGAGCAAGAGCACUACAGUUUCCCGUCUGGAUGCCAGCAAACCGUCUUAGGAUUCAUUCUGAAUAUUUCAGUUUGACCCCGAACAGGACUCCUUGAUCUGGAAGCUGCAACUUUUACAGAAUCUGCCUCUCAUUUGCACUUCUGGAGAAGAAUGACUUACUCACUCCAGCUAUGCUGCAAGGCUUAUUCACUUUGUGGUCAAUUCUCAAAUGUCUGUGAGAAGAUUAUCUGGGUUAUGUAUUACAUGUGUCAUGUUUUAAAGAAAAAAAAAGCAAAUCCUUUUCUAACCUCGUUCCAUGCUUAUAGUCUUGUUCUUAAAAUGUAAACAUACUAAACAGAAUGUUCUAACAUUUACUGUAUGUGUGUGGGUUUUAUCUGUGCUUAACUUUAUUUGGGUACUCUGUCCCCUCUCCCUGUUCUUGGGGAGUUGACAGCAUUUAGGCUUGAAUUCUGCUGCUAUAGAGUUAUUCAGGGUUUGGGUUUGUAUCUAAAGUACUGCGAACACCUAAAAUACUAUAAAAACAGUCGCUGUGAUUUAGGAUGGCUUAUUCUCAUCCACUCUUUGCCCAUUCCACUGUGUAAUUCAUUCCUUCUAUUCCCUUUUUUUCCUGUUCUUUGUACCUGUGAGCAAUUGAUUUCUUUUGAUAGGAAGUUUGAAUUGCGCUGUCUUGGCUAGAUAUC